GGACAACAAGAAACACAUUCAUGAGCUGAACAUCAUUUCUUUUCUCUGAAUUUUCCAUUUACAAACUGCCUCAUAUAGAGUACUAACAUAAACUUUUUGAAUACCAAUCCUUUUUACCUAACAACUUUAACUAGAUCAUUUAUACAGCAAAGGAAUCAGCCUAAACAAUAGUUUCCAUGAAAAAUCUCAUAGCUUCCUUCAACACGUUUUAACAGGAAAAGUAACUUACAAACACUUGGGUCAGACAGUUUAGCUAAGAGGAGGCAAAUGCCCAUGAGAAGACACAGCAUUGAAGAUCAGGUAUCGAUGAUCAUACUGUCAACUUGCUUUGCACUUCCAGUUUUUGGUAUGUGUGCCAUUUCUUAUAUCUCUGAUUCCCUGGCAAAACAGGCCUAAGCCGAGGAGCAGUUUUGCAUUUCAGACAGCAACAUCCUCUUAAAUCCUUCACACAGUUCAUACAGCACAGAAAAAGCAAGUUGCAAUCAAGAUUAGCACAGUUUCGAUGCCUCAACUCAUGGACAUGUGAUCCACAGAUAAAACAGUUAGCAAAUGAAUAGUUCUUUGGUCCUUGCUGAGGUUUGCCCACUAUUGCUGUAGCCUUAGAAUCAGUAUCAGGCUUAUAAGCAGAAGGUGGAAGAGAGAGACGGUCAUCAAACACAAACAAAUUUCCAAUCCAUUCUCUAGGGCCUUCUUCGUUGAGAUAAUGAGAAACCCCUCCCAUCAAGGUGUACAAAUUCUUAAAACCUUGUUCCCUUAGGAUGGUAGAAUAUACAUCACAACGAAUGCCUCCUGUGCAAUACAUAAAUAUAUUUGUGGUAUUUUUAUCAGCAUUUGCUAAAGGAUCUGAAGCAACGACCUCCCUAUUGGAUAGUCCACAAGAAGUGCUCCUGAAGCAAUCUGUAUCAGGUCGCUGGGCCCCAACGAAAUGACCAAUGUCCCACUCAUAGCCAUUUCUUACAUCCAAUAGAACAUAAUUUGAACCAAUGGCUGAAUUUGACAUCCCAACAAUUUCAUGUACUGCUUCUAAUCUUUUUCUCCACUCAAAUGGUGUUAGAGGCGUUGCUCUCAUAGAAGGAUUCAACAAAGGAAGAUGUGAAAUGCUUCCUUCCAACUGAACCAAUGAGGGUUUGUAGCGCAGCUUUAAUUUUGGGAAGGCAUGCUCAUUGUUUGCUGGAGACACUUGAACCAGUACAUCAGAAAAUCUGAAAUCUUCUCUUAACCAUUCAACAUAUGCAAGAGCAUCUUUUGAUGGUCCACUGAACUGGGCAUUAAUCCCUUGUUCAUUCAGAUAUAUUCGACCAUGGAUGUCAAGACCCUUCAAGAAAGAGAGAUGCUUGGCAACUUCUGCAUGAGGAUUUUCGAUAAACACAAACCGGUAAAAAUUCACAACCACGAAAUCAUCUGAAGGCACUGCCACACUGAAAUUCGAAAAAAUUGCGAAAUUUCGAUUCCUCUUCUUCUUCUUCAGCUCUGCUUGAUUAUAUUUUGAGCGGCUAGGAGAAGUUAGAGUAAAAUAGACUUUGGAAUCGAAAGAAGAGUUGUUAGCAAGAGAAAUCCUAUAUCUGCUAGUAAUGGUAGCGGAGAAAGGAGCCGAGAGAUGGGCACAGCAAACCAUCAUCCUCUCCCGGUACCACCCAGUCCCAGUAACUGCAUCCUCUAUGCAGAAUAUAAAAUAGCCUGUUGGAAA
rnacentral:misc_RNA from 1 species